AGAGUUUGAUCCUGGCUCAGGAUGAACGCUAGCGGCAGGCCUAAUACAUGCAAGUCGAACGAUACCAGGGAGCUUGCUCUCUGGGAAAGUGGCGCACGGGUGCGUAACGCGUAUGCAACCUACCUUAAUCAGGGGGAUAGCCUCUCGAAAGAGAGAUUAACACCGCAUAAAAUCAAAGAAUGGCAUCAUUCAAUGAUCAAAUAUUUAUAGGAUUAAGAUGGGCAUGCGUGUCAUUAGCUAGUUGGUGAGGUAACGGCUCACCAAGGCGACGAUGACUAGGGGAUCUGAGAGGAUGACCCCCCACACUGGUACUGAGACACGGACCAGACUCCUACGGGAGGCAGCAGUAAGGAAUAUUGGUCAAUGGAGGCAACUCUGAACCAGCCAUGCCGCGUGCAGGAAGACGGCCCUAUGGGUUGUAAACUGCUUUUAUACGGGAAUAAACCUCUCUUCGUGAAGAGAGCUGAAUGUACUGUAAGAAUAAGGAUCGGCUAACUCCGUGCCAGCAGCCGCGGUAAUACGGAGGAUCCAAGCGUUAUCCGGAUUUAUUGGGUUUAAAGGGUGCGUAGGCGGCUUAUUAAGUCAGGGGUGAAAGACGGUGGCUCAACCAUCGCAGUGCCUUUGAUACUGAUGAGCUUGAAUACACUUGAGGUAGGCGGAAUGUGACAAGUAGCGGUGAAAUGCAUAGAUAUGUCACAGAACACCAAUUGCGAAGGCAGCUUACUAAGGUGCAAUUGACGCUGAGGCACGAAAGCGUGGGGAUCAAACAGGAUUAGAUACCCUGGUAGUCG
rnacentral:rRNA from 1 species